CUGUGUAGACCCUUAGGAGCUUGUCAUGUGGUUAAAAUCAAGAUUCACUUGCACGUUCACUCACACAUGCUACUUCUACUCCGGAAGUACGCAUUCACAUACAUCCACUCACUUCAAUCUCCACAGCCACCCAAAAGUAUUCUACUCCUAAUCCAGGAGAGAAUAGCCAAAAAUAUUUAUGUUUUUCCCUGUGAAAUAAAUGCUCGAGUUAUCUUGGUUACUACCACUUGCUAUAUUAUUUCAGGAGAUGAGUGCUCUAAAAAAAGAGGAUACGAGGAAAUAAAAAGGGGCAAGUGCCCGGAACCUCGAAGAAAAGAAAAAGUAAGACAAGAUGUAAAAAUGGACAAGUGUCCGACAGUAGAAUUAGGAGUACAAGAUACCCACCUAAGAGGAAACAAAAAGAAAAUAUAGAGCAUCUCAUUCUCCUCAAAAAGCUUCAAAGUGCAAGAAAGGUAUGUAUCCUCUUAAAAGAGCAAAAGUAAAAUUAGAUUUUCACCAUUGUUAUCACCAUCAUCACCAUACACCAUUCACUCACCACACAUGCACAUCUUGAUUUGACUUAUUGACUUGUUCUUCUGGAUCCAUGGUUUGACUAUGCAAUAAAUGUCUUGUAAGUAUGUAUUAUCUGUCUCCCACCUAUAAGCUCCAGAUAUCAAAACCUUAUUAGAGUAGGGUGAGAGAGAAGGCAAUACCACUAUGCCUCAUACCAAAAACACCACAUACUUUGAGAGAAGGCAUAUACCAUUGCUGCCUUGGAAAGGAUCCAGAAAUACCACAAACGAGAGAUUUCAGAGAAUCAUAUAAGGAAUCUCUCAGUUUUAUUUGAAAAUAUGCAAAAACUCUAGAGCUAUAGCUGAUCAAGAACAAGAGACAUGGCGCUUGACUAGACUAUUCUAUCUUUUAACUGCUGAAGACAAAAGUGAUGGUUGCAAGCCCCAUGGUGAAAGGUAAAAUGAGUAAGUUUUAAGUCUUAACAGUUUACUCUAACUCAGAGAUGAGAUCUUGCUUGAACGCAUGUGUACUUUUAAGACAUGAAACCACUGCAGAAACUCUUGAGUUCAUCCUUGCUCAGGGACGAGCAAGAGGUAAGCUUAGGGGAGUUGUUGACGGUCCUUAUGUACCAAAUAUAAUCAUCAAAUAAAUAAAGAAAAGGAUCCAAAUGCAACCAACACCCAGACUUAGGGUUGUAUCUGACAGAAUUCCAUGAGUUUUGAUGUUUGUCUAUUUCUGUAGGGGGUUAUCAGGAAAUAUGGAGGAAAGGCCCACACGUCAGGUUUACAUAGAGAUAUUAACGUGCUGCGCAAUUUUCUAUAAUCUAGAAGAGUCCAGAAGCCACGGGAACGAACGGGAGGCCGAACGGGCCCGGGGGCACGGCGCCCGCCCUCCCCCCUUGGGCGCCCGCCCUGGUACAAGCACCAAUCACAGAAUGGAGUACACCAUUACAAAGAUCUCGUCGAGCUGAUCGAAAUGCAUAUAUUAUUUGCUAUAUUUGGAGUUCGGAAUCAAGAGAUAUUAAUAAAAGAAAGACUCCACAUAAAAGAGCUGCGGGAUUAAUUGGGCCCAAAUCAAAUUUUGGUCGAUUAAGGCCUUUGUGCAUUUUAAUGAGAUAUGGUGGAAAGUUUAGUACCACAUCACCUGCUGAACCAAAAAUGCACAAAGGAGGAGGCUAUAUAAGCAAGACCCCUGGCCCCUGGAGGAGAACACAUCAUUAUAGAGUUGAGAGGUGCCCUCGAAGGAUAACCUUUCCUCUACAUAGAAUUAGGGCUUAGCAUCCAAUGUGAGAUUAGAAUUAGUUCUUCUAAGUUCUUCUAGAUUGAGAGAGAUAGAGUGGAGGUCUAGAUCGGAGGAAGCCCGGCCUGUCGGUGUCUCCUCCGAGGUUGUAUCUGCGGGAUCAAGUCUCAUAACCCGAGGCUUGCUCCUAGGAUUCUUCAGUAUUUCGACUUCUAAAUUCUAGUAAGUUGUUGUUCUUAUUGUUCUUUAGUUUAUGAGUUUACUUUAAUCUCUUCCGGUUGAGUUUAGAGUAAUCAUUGCUAGCGUAAACAUGGUGUUUGGGCUAGUGUACUCAUAGAUAUCCCCUGUCUAGCCGGACCGUGGUAGUAGCGAGGAACGUGACAUUUCCGAGUUACCUUUGUAGCCCACAUCCCGUUAGAAGGAUCGAUAGGGUUUAUAUGUGCGGGUCGAACAUCCUUUAUGGUGUCAAGAUUCCGUAAGCCUCCCCAAUAGAACAGUAGAUCAUCCUUACCAAGGUUAGAACGAGAUUACGGUUGUAGUCUUCUCUAUACAUCGCUCACAUCGAAUCACAUUGUUUGUAGCCUAAAGGGUAGUAGCAAUAGAUUUGGUUAGUCAGAUGCACGCUUUCUCCCAGUGGUAAAAAUAUAAAUACAAUACUCUGGAUAACCUCCCGGGUGAAGGGCUUAUCAAUAUCCGUGCGCUUAUAGAUCAUUUCCUGAGGGUGUUACCAAAUAUCAACAGUAUGCCUUCACGGCUGACGACGUUGCCGAGCAGUAUAUCAGAGGGAACCCCGAAGAUGCAUUUUUGGGGUUAAGCUUCCACUUGUAUUUAUUCAGCGCUUUAAAAGUGCGGUCUAAGUUGUCGAUCAGGGUGCCUGCGUCCUGGUUUUGACGACAACGUCGUUGACGUAAGCCUCGACAAGGUCAUCACGUAUCUCGUCAUUGAUAGGUGGCUCCAGUGUUUUUGAGUCCGAAGGACAUGGUGGUGUAGCAAUACGCACCGAAAGGAGUGAUGAAGGAAGUUUUGAUCUGGUCGUCUUCCUUUAGCGAGAUCUGGUGGUAACUAGAGUAACAGUCGAGAAAAGAGAAUUGUUCGCAUCCGGCUGUUGAAUCGACCACCUCGUCGAUAUGGGGGGCCAAAAGGAUUUUUAGGACAGUGUUUAUUGAGAUCAGUGUAAUCAACGCACAUUCUCCAUUGAUUAUUCUUUUUUCUUACAAGGACUGGAUUGGUGAGCCAAUCGGGGUGAUACACUUCUUUAAUAAAUCCGGCUGCCAAAAGCCGUGUAAUCUCUGUCCUAAUAGCCUCCUUUUUGUCACGAGCGAACCGUCGUAGCUUUUGCUUGAUAGGUCUUGUGGUCUUCAAGACGUUUAAGGAGUGCUCGAUCAGGCUUCGUGGGACGCCGGGUAUGUUUGUGGGUUUCCAUGCGAAAACGCUUACGUUGUUCCUUAGAAACCUGACGAGCACGUCUUCCUAUUUGGCGUCCAGGUUGACCCCGAUGAGAGCCGUCUUCUCUGGGCUGCCGUUGACCAGUUGUACUUCCUUGUGCUCUUUGGACUUGGAGCUUUUUCUUGGAGUCUCCUGCUCGAGUAGUUGGAGCUGGUUGGGUGGAACUUGCGUGGCUUGUGCUACAGUUUCUGCCAUGCGAAUUGAGUGAUCAAUUGCCUCGGUGAUCUUGAAGCUUUCCUCUUCGCAAGUGUACAUGGUGUAGACGUUGCCUCUGAUGGUUAAGACGCCCUUCUCGGUUGGCAUCUUGAGGACCAGGUAUGAGUAGUGUGGAACUGCCAUGAACAUUGUAAGCGAAGGACGGCCUAGAAUUGCGUGGUAAGUCCUGUCGAAGUCGGCGACCACAAAGUUGAUGAACUCUAUGCGGAAGUGGUCUGGCGUUCUUCCGAACUAGACGGGCAGCGUUAUCUGGCCGAGGGGUACUUAGCGUCAUACGGUUUUAGCUGCGCCGGAGUUAGCUUGAGAGCAGGCAAGCUAUUGCGGAACAGGAUAUCGAUAGAGCUGCCCCCGUCAACGAGCACGCGCUCGAACCUGACGCUGUUGAUGCACGAGUCUAGAAUCAACGGAAAAUGCUCUGGUUCUGGGAUGGCGGCUCACUAGUCCUGCCUGUUGAAGGAAAUCUCACGGUGCGACCAGGGAGGUAAUUUAGGAUCGGUGAACAAACCAUCGGCGCAGUCCACAUUAAGGCAAGCCCGCUUCAAGAGCUUUCUUUCUCGUUUUGACUCGAUGGAGACUUUGCCUCCAAAGAUGGAGUGUACCCCAUGGUGGGGCUGACAUAUUGGUGCCGUGGGUCCCUAUCCUGGUCAUCGUCCUCGUCUUCCUGACAGCGUCUGUCCUGUUUCCCGUUUUUCUUGGCGGCAUCUCCCUGAGCGGCCUGAUGUGUGUAGAUGCUUUUGAGGACACGGCAUUCUUCCAUCGUGUGGUUGGACUUGGGAUGGAGUUGGCACAGUCCUUUCAACAUUUUAUAGUAGUCUUCCUAGUAGUCACGUCGUCCAUUGGGACGCUUGAUUGUGUUCACCUCGUGAUCGUUGUCGCGAGGUCGCUCGCCUCUAAAAAGUCACGAUUUUCACGACGCCUGUCCCACACUUCUCGGUGGUCGCGGUUGUCGCCGCGGCGGGGAUUCCGGUUAUCGAAACGCCCACGGCUGUCGUCUCGUCGGGGAGGUGGCUCGGCUCCUGUUACGUCUUCUCGGAUAAGCUUUUCUGCGUCGUCGGCAUCGGCGUAGUUUUUGGCCGUAGCGAGGAGCUCGGCGACCGUGGUCGGCCUUUUGCGUAGUAGCUUGCUUCUUAAUGCUUCGUGGAAGCGUAGGCCCUUGAUGAAGGCUGAUAUGGCCUCGUUGUGAGAAAUCUUCGGAAUCUUGAGGCGCAUAUCCGAGAAGCAUCAGAUGUAAUCGCGUAAGGGCUCGUUUUUCCUGUCCCUUAUCCUCUCGAGAUCAUAUUUGUUUCUAGGCUGCUCGCAGGUAGCGAUGAAAUUAUCAAUAAACGCCUGGCGCAAUUCAUCCCAAGAAUCGAAAGAGUCCUCGGGUAGACCGAGGAGCCAUUGUUGGCUAGCUUGGUCGAGGACGACUGGGAAGUAGUUUGCCAUGACGUGCUCGUCCCCUCCUGCUGAUCGGACUACGAUCUCGUAAAGAGUGAUCCAGUUUUCAGGAUUCUCCUUGCCAUCAUACUAUUUAAGCUUCUCGAGCUUGAAGUUGCGGGGCCAUAUGACUUGGCAAAGGUAUGAGGAGAACUGUCUUAGGCCGGGAGGGCCAUGUGUUGCAUCGUACUUGAUGCGUCGCACGUUUUCAUGUACUGCUCUUUCCACAAUGCACUUGUUGAUGCGCUCGCGGACGUCCUUAGGAGGGAUGUUGUGUCAUAGAUCUUAGUCUUGGUUCACCUCCUGACCACGUCCGCAUCUUUGUUUGUGGUAACUGCCAGCGUCCCGACCACAAUUAUCGCGGUGGGUGUCCUUCCUCCGAUUAUUGAUAGGCGAAUGGCUACGAUGAUGUCCGCCGGUUCGCGGUGAGGUGCGGCUGCGAUGAGUCUGGUUAGAGGUGACCUCCAUAUAGGAGACGGUUUGGACCCAUUUGAGCAGAGUGGCGGUCUACCCCAUGGUCGUGAUCAGAUGCGCCCGUAUGUUGGUACGAGCAUCCUGAUAUUCUAGGGUAUCCAGAAGUCGAUCAAGAUUUGCCAUGGCGACGGCCACGUUGGCACUUGGUGUCUUGAACACUUGCUGAUUUCCAACCAUGUCAAAAGCAUCGUCAAGGUUGUUUGGGGUUAAUUGUCGCUGCUCAUCUGCUCGUCGCUGAGCUCGAUCGGCGUUGCGUUGUUCGCGCUAUUGUCUUUGUUUGUCGGUUUCACCGUCAACAACUGGUUCGUCAUUGCUGACAUUGAAAACCAGAUCUCCUCGUCGAGGUGAAAGGACUGCAAAGUGAGAAAAACCCAAGGGGUAAGGUGGUAGAUCCAGGUCGUAGUCUUCGUCAUUGGGGUGUAAAACAUCGGUAGGGACAGAUCCUGUGCUAGAGUUUGUGCAGGUGGCCUUGUCGUCUGGUAGGGUUCGGAUGGAUACCAUGUUGACAAAGUGAUGAUCCGACCUAUUGGUUUGCCCUGGCGACAAUCCCAUCUUCCCGAAUAGAGAAUCGGUAUGCCGUGAAAACUGAUCAGCCGCGUUGUUCAGACCGUGACGGAAGUUCUGGUGUGGCGAGGCUGUCUUGAACUUGAUAGUCCGUCCCGCGGUGGUCGAUGUUAUCGUCAGGGAUGUCUCCAGUCGUUCGUGCGUGGAGACACAAGUUGGUUGACAGGAUUCAAAAAAAUUUGAUGUUGCCGCCUGAUCGGGCCUGCGUGAAAUCGAAUCCACCAAGUUGGAGGCUUCGAGAAGUUUGUGGUCGGCGCGAUCGAGGGCUUGAAGCAGAUCCGAGUUGUCGACUCGCUUUGCCCUGUAGCGAGGGAGCGGAGGUCGGGUCCUCGGAGUCGGCGUGAUCAGAGUCGACGCCUCUGCUGUCCCAGAUUGGAUCUGGGUUUCUUCUGUAGUCGUGGUCGUAAGGCCGCCGUCGUGAGUUGUCCAAGUGAUCUGCCCGACGGUGAACAUGGGACCUUCAGCCACGGCUGCGGAAGCUGGGACAAUGACCAUCUUGUUCGUCUGGGAAGCUGUGUGCACUCCCCCUACCUGGCGCGCCACUGUUGACGAAAGCUAGUCGGCAAUCUACCUUGGGGUAUACCCACGGUAGUAGUUUAUCGGCAGACAGGUGCGCAAGCUACGAACUUGAUGGUGACGCAAGACACGGACAAGGUUUUUAUCCAGGUUCGGCCGCCGUGUGGGCAUAAUACCUACGUCUUGUGUCUGAUUGUAUUGCUGUGGAUUGUGUUGAGUUGAGAUGAGAUGUCCUAGGGGGGUCCCUUGCCUCUCUUUAUAUAGUCCAGAGGGCAGGGUUACAGAUCCGGAAACUAAUCCCAGUCGGUUACAAUUGCCAUAGAUAACACGAUAUCAAUUCCUAUUCUAACCGACUAGAAUCUGGCUUGAUCUCCACGUCUUGUUUCCUUGCGUGAAACUCCGAGCAGUUGGAUCAAGCUUCGAACUCUCUUGUGAUGGGCCAAGUCUCCUGGCCCAAGUCUAGCCGUAAGGGUAUAGGGGUUUAUACCGUCGCAUCCUUCGUCCAGAUCAGGCAUUGCUUAGAGGUCCUAUUCAGUACGGAUGGAUAUACCAGUAGAAAGGCGACUAGGCACAUUGAAGAAUUUUGUAAGGAAUAGGGCUAGGCCGGAAGGUUCAAUUGCUGAGGCUUAUGUUGCAAGUGACACGCUGACAUUUUGUUCUUGGUACAUGGAGGAUGUUGAGACUAAAUUUAACCAAUAUGAUGGUAGUGGAGGAGAUGGGGAGGUGGUUGGUGACGUCUCUAUUUUUAUGCAUGGUGUUACUGUUGUUGGUUCAAAUAGGAUAAUUUGAAAAUGGUCUGCUCAACAAGUUAGUUUGGUAUGUGCUAAAUAACUGUGACAAAGUUGGGCCAUAUUUGCAGUAUGUAUCAUUUUCAAAUUUUGGAAAAUCAUGUUUUUUCAUAAUGAUUUAAUUUUUUCCUGCAGCAUGUACAGAGAAGAGUUAGUAAAGGAAGGAGCACAUGAUGUUGAUAAAAGGCUUGAACAAGGAUUUUGAAAAUGGUUUAGAAGCCAUGUAUGUCACUGCAUCUUGUAUGUUUUUUAGAUUUCCUUCAUGGUUUAGGAGCCAUAUUUAAUUGGUUGAUCCGAUUAAUUUUAUUGCACCCCAGGUCAUGAAGCUAAGCAAGGAGAAGCCAUAGGAUGUUAGUGAAGGAUUGUAUGCUCUUUCAUGUGGGCUAGAUCUUAGAGUGAAGAGUUGUGCAGCUUGCGUUGUUAAUGGAGUGCGAUAUAGCACUAUGGACCGUGAGAAGUACCUACUGACGACAAAAUAGUGGUGUGACGACCGAAGGUGCACAUGAGGGUGAGAACAUUGAUUUUUAUGGUGUCUUGAAGGAGGUAAUUGAGUUGGGAUAUAAUUCCAAUCUUGAAUUUUGUCAUUCGGUGGUUCUAUUUCAAUGUGAUUGGUACAAUCUAUGUGGUAAGUCAAGAGGCAUGCGAGAUGAUGGAUAUUUCAAAUCCAUCAACAUGCAAUCCUUACGGUACAGGUCUGUUCUUUUCAUAUUGGCUACUCAAUCUACAAAUGUAUUUUACUUAGAAGACGCAUCUUUAGGCAAAGAUUGGCAAGUUGUGCAAAAAUUUGAACAUAUGCAUAUUUACGAUGUGGCUGAAAAAGAUGAGCCUAGUCAUCAUGAUGUACAUCAGGAUGAUCAUUGUUCUGAUAGCAAGAAUGUUGUAGAAGAAGGGAAUGUUCAUGAGGUCAUGCACCAUGUUCUGGGUGGAGAAGGCACUAUACUUGAAGGUAAUUUAGUAGAGAAUAGAAGAAACAAGAAGCAACCUUCAAUUCUUAAAGAUAGUGAGGAUAACGAUGAAGACCAAACUGUAAUGCAAUAUUGCAGUGAUGGUGACAAUGACAAGAACGCAGAUGGCAUGUGCCUAGACGAUGACGAUGAAGAUGAUGAUUUGGAGACCUAGAUUCCUGGUGUACUAGUAUGCUACCAUUCUUGAUGUACUAGAUAUUGGUACAACAUUUAUUUGUUUUUAGUGAUUCAAAUCUUCGCUAUUUUCACUAACAUUAAGAUCCAAAAGACCACAUUCAGUUUCAGAUAAACCACAUUCAGAUAAAUCACUAGGACUUGAGUUGCAGUGCUGGGCAUUCCACCAGGCCUUACCAUAAUAUCCAAAAGACUUGAGUUCAGAUAAAUCAUGACUAUACUAGGUGCUGCUAGGUCCUAACAUAUCAUGUAUCUACAUAACUUAAGUGCUGCACAUUCCAGGGCCUACCAUAACUAAAAGAAGACUAAGUCCAAUUUCCAUUACAAGUUAGUUCCAAAAUGUCUUCCUGCUGGCCUUCAGUGCAGGGGUUUCUUCAGCUAUUCCAGAUCGUCCUUGAUUUGCUGGAUGAUCAAGUCCUUGUCCGCUUCUGUUUUCUUCAACGCAUAGAUUCUAACGCCAUUUUUCGAAAAUCAUCACGCCCAACUUCUUCUCCAACUGCUUGACUUUGGCACCCAUCUUCUUCUCCAACUCCUUCACUUUCUUGCAGCAUAUACAGAUCAACUUUACUGAACUUUCUUAAGGUCAACUAAACGACCACAUUCACAAAAUGCACUAGGACUCAACAUUCAAUUUCAUUUAGUUGCAAUAAUCCACACUCAGUUUCAGACAGAACCACAUUCAGAUAGCAGGUAAUGUGCAGGUUCAGAUCACAUAUAUCAUAGGUAAUCUCAGAUGCAGACCAAGACCUAUGACCUUGAAACUGCCUACACCUGUUUGAAAAUGAAUGAGUAGGAAUUUUGGAUAACAGUAUAAGAAAAGAAAGAUGGCAGGCGGCUAACCCUUCAAGUAGUAAGGCAUGCAAUCACUGGAGGGAGCAAACUUAAUAGGAGGAAGGAAGAAUGUAGUAAGACAUACGUGGCUGUGCUAAUUGGAGCUAGGAAAGAUACUAAUUCUAUGUGGUACUGAAAUCCUUAUCAACACCCAAAACUUGAGUCUAAAACAUUGUUGUGCUACUACUGCAGUGCCGUGCUACUACUGCAGUUACUUAUCCUACUAAAGGCAUGGCUAGCUGCUUAAAAAACAUUUCAAGGACACAAACCGUAUUUUCACAUUAGCUCAAAAGUACAGAGAUGCUAUUCAUUCAUUACGAUAGAAACCCUAUUCAUUCAUUUUCUACAACAUUAUGACAGUAACCUGCCAAUCUGAACUCAACCAUGAAAAUACAGAGAUGCUAUUUCAAGACAUGAUAAUAUGGUUUGGGACCUGUGCACAAAAAUUCUGGCUCAAUGCACAAUAAUUUUUAUGCACACUAAAAAUUUUGGGACCUGUGCACCAGCUUAGAACCUGCAAAGUAGUCUCCUAGACAUGCUCUAGUGCUGUCAUGAUCGCUAACAACCACUUUAAGCAUAUCUACACAUUUGCAAAUCGUCUUUUCUCUUUCACAUAGCACUAGGCAAGGGAAUCUUAUAAAAGAACUUUACUUCUUGUCCACACCUAGGAUUUACUUUAGUAGACACUUAAUGCCACAUCAUUUAGAGUGCUAAAGUGCUUAGGGUAGGGGUCAGCCGACCCCUACAUUGGCUAAUCUCUGGAAAAUAGUUCAUAUAUGUUGCAAGAUUCCCUGCCAUGAUUCAAAAUUUUGAAACAUAGUGCUUAUGGGGAGGUCGGCCGACGCCCACAUUGGGGUGUUCACCACUUGCCCUUCUUCCCCUAUAAAUACCCAUGCAUUGUGAGCUCAAUUCCACACCCAAAACCACCAAAAUUAUCUCGAGCUCACAAUCCCUCUUCUCUCUUCUUACUUGCAAGUUAUUUCUCAAGAUUAGAAUAAUUGACCUUAAAAAAACCAAAAAAUAUUUAGUCUUGCAUAGGAGUAGAAGUUGGAAAAAGUUUGGUUGUCUGUGUUGUGCAGGAAAAUGGAGAAAGCAUUCCUCUCCCGAUUCUAGAAGUCCAAAGGGGGUGAGAGUUGUUCUCAAAGCUCUCACCACUCUAAUGAGGGAAGCCAUGAGAGGAUGGAGGAAGGGGAGAGUCACCAUCAAGUGGUGCUCUACGAACCUCCUCCAACAGCAAUGGAGCCUAAAGAAUGAACUCAUAUUAACACCGGAAGAGAUGAUCAAGUUCAACAACCUAAAGGAGAGCGGUUUCCGCCAUACAAGCAUCCUCGACCCGGCCCUUGUGGACUGCACAGGUAUGACUAAAGAAUUCAAUGAUAUUUUAAUACCAUUGGUUUGGGAGGUUUUUGGUGAGUACCUUAAGCUUGGUAUAGAAGUGCUCACUGAAGAAUUUUUAUGCACACUAAAAUUGACUCAUAACAUUUUGCAUGUGUGGGCAAGAGUGUAGUUGUACUUGGGGUCUUCUAACCACUGCUCUAGGUUGUAACUUCGAUUGUACAAUUGACUUAGACACUACCAUGCCUAGGUUUCACAAGAGUAGAUUUUGAUGAUUGCUCCACUCUCUUAACCUCUAAAAUUCACAAUCCAACCUUGUGCUUAAUUUAUUUCUGGAUUACUACCAAUCUUUUUCUUGGUUCUUCUAACUCUCUAAAAGAUGAUGAACUAAAAUAGCUCUAUGCUAUGGUACACAAGAUUGAAAUUUCCCCUGUUAAAUUGAUGAUAAGAUUUUAGCUACCUACCAAUGACCCACCUUGGUCCUGUUGGUGUGUUGCCACCAGCUGGACCCCUACACUUGAUGUUUCCCAUGUCUUUGGAUUUCAGAAUGCUCAAGAAUCCAAGUUUGGGGGGUCAAGUGGCCCCCCAAACUAAGUCUCUGAAUUUCCUGAACACACCAUGACCUAGUACAUGGUGAGGCAAGUUGGCUCGACAAAUUCUACCCAAAGUAGGGGGUCGGCCGACCCCCUCUUUGACGGACAACGGGAACAGAAGCUUGCAAAGGUACAUCAUCAACAAUGGGAAUUCAAAUGGCAGCAAUGGGCAAGCCGAAGUGGGGUCGGCCGACCCCACCUUGGAGCCCUGGACCCACCGUUCAGCAUCCACUCAACGUCUACCUGCCUUCUGUCUCGUUUGCCACUCCAACUCCCCCUCUGUUCUUUGAUUUUUAUUACUUCUGUCUCUUGUUUGCUUUAUUAGAUAAAAUAAAAAAAUAAAAACGAGAAGACUUGGAUCUAUGAUUUAUGACAUUAAAAGGGUAAAAGUGUCACAAAGUCUAAUUCUUUCAUAUGCUUAUACUUGUGGGUCAUAUAUCUUGAUAGGAAUACCAUAAUGACUUGAUUGUUGAGAAUUGUGAUAUAGUUCUUAACUCAUGAUUCAUACCCUUUAUAUUCAAAGUGCUUAGAGAUUUAUUUUUGAAAAUAUCAUAAAACCAUAGUGUCACUUACUCCUCAAUAGUAAGAGAAUUCCUACCACAGCCAUAUAUGUUCAUACCUUGUUCAAAACCCUUCUAUAUAUGCUACUUGUACUUGUGUUGAGUUUAGUCAAACCUUGUGACCCUAGUUGAGAAUUAUGUCAUAGUCCCAAGAUCAAGAUCACAAACACACCACAUAUAUAUGCUGCUUCUACACUGGAAGUACGCAAAAAUAGGCCAUCCAUUUUACCAUAUAGAAGCUCCUUGUUUUAAGGUUUAGAAUAUCUCUCUCAAAUUAUUGUUUAUAAGAUGAGACACAAAGGCUAUGCUUAGUAAAAAAAAGUGGGCACAUGAAGGUCAAUUCCUUUUAAAAAAAAAGAAAAAAAACUAGCCAGGUCUCAAAUAAAAUAGAGAGAGAUCUUAUUAAAUAGAGGAGCAUUCUAUUCUAAUCAUUAUUCACACACUUACACAUCAUGAUCUAGGAUUAUGACAUUCUUCUCCUUGGAUCCUUGUUUUGACUUUACAAUAGAUACAAUACAAGUAUGCUAUCUUGUUUCUCCCUACCUGAGCCCCAUAAGCCUAUUAGAUGUAGCAUGAAACAAAAGAAGGCAAUCUUAUGCUAUGCCUUGGUGAGGAAUCCUAUACUUGCUGAGUGACUUAAGAGUACUAUUAGAGGAGUAAGGAUGAACUAUGUGCUUUCUUUUAAAACAUUUAUCAAAAACUCUAAGUACAAAUGAUAUGAAAAUGGGAAGAUGUCUUUGCUUUGAGAACUGCUCCAUUUUUCAACAUCCUAAGGAUAUAUGUUGGACAGUGCCACAUAACCCACUUGUAUAAGAUAUGUCUUGAGUAGUCUUUGUGUUUACUUAUAUCUUAAAUGUGUCAUAAUCAUAGGUUAUCUUUCUCUAACCUUUUCUCGAGGACAAGCAAAGACUUAUGUGUGGGGGUUCUUGUUGAUGGUAGAUAAGCCCUAUUUUUACCCCAUCAAAACCGUCAACAAUACAUUCUUUUUGGAAGAAAAUCACCAAACCCAUAGUGUCUUAGGUACAAAUAACUUGGUUCCACAUGUACAUGUCAUCAUUUGGAUGCAGGUGUGCAAUCGACUACUUUUCAGGGUUAAGAAGCUCUAUAUGAAGGUUGGACUACCACCCUAGAAUGCCCAAUUGGAAAACCAACUUCACAUUCAUCAAUCUCAUAGCUUCUGGAGACAAUGUGCAAAAGAUGGGCACAUUAGUGGGGUCGGCCGAUCCCACCUUUGUGGGCCUAGCACCACCACUGUGCUCAUAAUGUCACCAGGAAGUCACCUGCAGAAGAUGAACCUUUGGUUCUACCAAAGUGGGAUCAACCGAUCCCACUACGGGGCCAUCCAGCCACCUGGUUUGCACCAACCGACAUGCAUGGAUUCCUUCUAGAAGACAACACCGGUCCCACCUGUCAUUGGGUGGGUCGGCCUACCCUAAGGUUGGGAGCUUCCAAGGUCGGUUGCACCCCACCGACGUCCCCAUGAUGAACAUGUGAUGGAAAUCCCCAACUGUUGAUCAUAUGGCGGUUCCAAGGUCAGUUUAUCCAAUGGUGCAUGCUGGAGGUCACGCAGAUUGCUGACGUGGUAGUGGAGUAGCCCAUACUCCACAUCCUGAUAUAAAUACCCCCUAUAGGCCUUCAUCUCAUAUCAUCUCACACUUCAAGAUCCACUUGUUACAAUGUAGGGUAGUAGUAGUUAGUCUAGUGUGGGAGUUAGAGUUGAGUCGAGCGAAGCUCGGAGUCUCCAGAGUCGUCUUCUAGAGAGUCUAGUAUUCCUCUUUACCUUUUCUCUUGUAAGACUUUGAAUAUUUAAUAUAUUUACUUUUCCUUUACUCUUCUAAGUAUUUACUUUUAGUAUUUGCUUAGUGCAAUAUUCUAUUGUAGUGUCCUAGUCUGUCUUAUAGUAGUUAUAUACUAGCUAAGUUAGUCUUAAGUACUUGGGUUGUUUUCUCUGCCGGUAACACGGUGCUUGGACUAGGUCGUAUACUUAGUCUGAGUAGUAGGAGUUAGCAUAAGCAUGGUGCUUAGACUAAAGCCUACCCUUGAAUACCACCAUAUCAAACGUGAUAGCGGGCGGCGGUGAAGCGUGACAGGCCUCUGCUUGCCAGUACGUUCUAUUCACAUCGGGUACGAUCUGUAGGCGCCCAUAAGAAACGAGUCCGCUUGGAUAGGAGUUUUGUCCUCCUAUUGCAGUCAACUUCCAACAAACAAGUAGUUAAGUUUAGUGAAGUUAGUGUGUGUCAGCUACUAGAUUAGAUUGGUUCACAGGAGUAAAGUUAGAGUCAUAGGAGUCUAUACUCACUCGUUGUCCUCCCACAUAGCAAGCUCUCUACCAUUUAUCUUUAGAUUAGGAUCUGUGUGAGAUCACUUACCUAUUCUUGACCCUUUGGAUGACCUUGAGCCUAGUAAGUUCACUUCACAUUCCCCGUGGAAAAUACAAUACCUAGAAUACUCCCGGUGAAAGCUACAUUAACUAUCGUACGCUUGCGGUAUUUCCGUUUGCCACUUCUAGAGUCAACAGGCUUUCUGGCACUAUUGUAGGGAUGGACUUUUAGUCUAUCUUUUGUGAUGACACUAUGAAUUGCCAACAAUGCAUAUCCAGUACCACAAAGUCUACUGGCACGAACAAGUCUCUUAUCUUGAUAGGAAUAUAUUCGGCAAUGCCCAAAGGAUAUCAGACUGAUUGGUCAGCCAGCUGAAGACACAUUGCUGUUGGCUCAAGUGCAGUGUGAUUAAGCUUGUAGUAGAUGUUGAUGGUCCUUAAGUAUCAAAUUUAACUAUCAAAUAAAUAAAGAAAAGGAUCCAAAUGCAACCGACAUCUAGACUUAGGGUUUUAUCUGACAGAAUUCCACGAGUUUUGGUGUUUGUCUAUUUCUACAGGGGGUUAUCAGGAAUUAUGGAAGAAAGGCCCACACAUCGGGUUUACAUAGAGAUAUUAACAUGCCGCGCAAUUUUCUAUCAUCUAGAAGACUCCAGAAGCCACAGGAAUGAACGGGAAGCCGAGCGGGCUCGGGGGCAGGGCGCCCGCCCAGCUACAGAGUCCAAUUAGGACUCGUUUCGUGGAUUACGCUCCACCGACCUAAAGGAUCAAGAAUAACCGUUCAAUCAAUGUCGGUCUGAUCCGACGGCCCAAAUUCACUUGAGGGGACUAUAUAAGCAGACCCCCUGGCCCCUGGAGGAGGUGCCCCUUGAUCAUUAUUCAUUAUUCCUAGACAGAGCAAAAGCUAGGGUUUGAGAUGAGAGCUCUCCUCUCCUCUAAACUAGAGUAGAUCAUAGUAGCGAGAUGGAGAGUGAGGGUGGAUUGCAGGAGAGCCCGGCCUGUCGGUUCUUCCUCCGGUUGUACUUCGUCAUGAUCAAGCUCUAAUCAAGCUUGCUCAUGGGAUGACUCUGGUAAUCUACUUCUAAUUCAUUAUGCAAUUACUAAUCAUGUAUGUUCUGGUUCACAACUCUUUUGAGUACUUUAAUCUAUAGGACGCUAUAGGUGAGAGUUGUAGUAUAGGUGUAAGCGUGGUGCUCAGACCUAGAUUACUUAUGGAUAUCCCCUGUCUAGCUGGAUCGUGUGGUAGGCCGCGUAGGUGAUAGUUAUGUUGGUCCCCUGUAGUCCACCUCUUGUUAACAGGACGGGUAGGGUUUAUUGGCCUACGGAUAAGCAUCCUUUGUGGUGUAUUCUUAUCACGUGGUUCGUCCCAGACAUAGACAUACCCCUUUGAAGUAGAGAAAUCAUAGUUAUCCUCUCUAUUCUCCUACCAUCGCCCAUAUAUUAGAUUGCUCUACUCUCUAUUCCCAUAUUAUCACCCAUUGUUAUCUUACCUUUAAUAUUGUUAUUAUUUAAUUCUACCAUCUUUCCUAUUUACACCUAUCUAUCUAUCUUGGUUAAGUUAGAGCGUAGUUGGUUCUCCUGUUUCCCUGUGGAUACGAUAAAACCUUUAACUGGGUAAAAGCUACAACGGUAUCUGUGCGCUUGCGGAUUUAUCUGUGUGCGUAUAAAUACCAUAGUACACUCUAGUGCCAUGUUGGGGAUGACAACCUAGUAUUCAAGUGGUGUUAGCAAGUGUGAACAAGCAUUUUUGGCGCCGUUGCCGGGGAGACGGUUGUUGAGUUGACUACGAACUAGCUUAAUCAUUUUCUAAAAAAUAAAAAUAUAUAUAUAUAUUUUUUCCUUUUAUCCUUUGCCUCAUCUCUGCUAUUCUUUCCUCUUAUCUAAUCCUUGAUCUCUGGUCUAUCAUGAAUUCAAACAUGUCUAUCUACGAAUUUCAUAGACCUACUGGCACACAUCUCGAACCACCAAAAUAUUCAAAGCCUAUCAUAGCAUCUAGUUUUGUGAUAGACCCCAAAUACAUAGAAUUUGUUCAAAAACAACCUUUCUCAGGAGAAGGUGAAGAAAACCCAUACACACACCUAAGAGUGUUUUAUCGAGUCUGUGACCUCCUUCGCAUAGAAGGCAUGUCCGAUGAGACCCUUAAAUGGAAGCUCUUUCUGUUCUCUUUAACAGGAAAAGCUAGACAUUGGUAUAAACUCAAAGUAGGGAGUGUUCAUGGAGAUUGGAAGGAGUUACAUAAUAGUUUUCUUUUAAAAUAUUUUCCAAUCUCUAAAGUGGCGGAACUUCGGCGUGAGAUUAUUUCUUUUAGACAACUGGAAGAAGAAUCUCUUGGCAAAUCAUGGGACCACUUUAUUAACCUUAUUCUCACUGGCCCAAAGCUUUCUAUUCCACAAGAAGUUCUUCUAAUUCACUUUUUUGAGGGCCUUAGUAUGGAAAAUAAGCAAACAUUGAAUACAGCCUCCAGAGGAUCUUUCCACCACCUAUCCGCUAGUGAAGCUUGGAAUUUGAUUGACUUAAUGAGCGGAAAGUAUCCUAGCUUUUAUAUCCUUGAGAAAAAGAAAGAACUAGUUCCUAGACAAGAAUAAGAAGUUUCGAUAGCCAGAUCACAACCACUUAAUUCCAAACUUUAGCUAUCGAUCCUAAACCAUCAAUACCCCAAAAUUCUCCAAGGGAGGAAGGAAUUCCAACCUUAAAUCUUUCAGAUACUGAUGGUUUAGACUUCUUGUUCCAUGACAAGCAUAGAUAAUUCAAAUCCUUGCAAUAAUGUUUCUCUUAGAGAAUGUCCUGGUUCCUAUUAUGAAGAAGUCGAGGAUGGCAUGUCAAGUAAUGCCUUAGAAGGAGAGCUAAGCUAUAUGGAAGAUUCUAUCAGCUCCCCUUUCCUGAUCACAAGUUACAAAUGGCUAGAAUGUGUAGAAUGGAUGGAUAAGGAAGAAGCCUUAAUGGAUUCUGAGUUUGGCUCAAUUUCAAAUGGUGAGUUCUUGACUCCCUUCGAAGAUGAGAUUCAUCCAACUACAGAAGAGGACAUAGGAGAAACCAAUCCAGGAGAAAUUCCGAACAUUCAAAUUGGAGACGAAGAUAACAUUAAUGAGCAUGGAAUUUAUUUCAUAGCCACCUCAUUUACUCCAUGCUCAUAUGCAACAUCUUCCCAAUCUAUUGGUCUCCCCAACAUCACCACAUCUGAGAUCUCCAACCCCCUCUUUCUUCCUAUUUAUAAAAACUUUAAAAGGGCAGUUUUCGAUGCAUAUGUCUAUAAUAAAUAUUGCAGAUCUCGUUGAGUUGAUCUUGAUAUACGUCAGUGUUGGAAGGGAAACCACUUCGCCGACAUAAAUUGAUGGUUUCCCAAGGACAAACUUAGUGUCUUAAAAUAAGCACUGAUCAGAUCAUAACAUGAGCUUUUAAUUAUUUACAACAUUACCUUGUGUAUUGAGCAUAUAAGGAUAAUUGUAAAAAUAUUCCUUCGGGUACUCUUGUCACUAACCUUUCCAGGAUUUGAGCAAGAAGAUUGGAUGAAUGACAAGUACAAGGUAUGUCCAACCAAUCAUCAUACAACAUUGAAUUACAUCCAAACUUGGAUUUUGCAAAAUUCAAGCUUGGGGGAGUAAUUUACAUCCUUUGCCAUGUUGCUAUGUUGGUUGUCCCUACCUUUGAGACAUGCUCAAUUUGUUAAAUACUAAUCACACUACUUCAUCUCCACUUGAGUAGAUCUCUAUAAAUGCUCCCAUGCUACCUUUAUGUGCUUUAGUAUAUGUCUAGGUUUGGAGUAGUUCAUUUAUCUCUUAAAUAAGCAUUUUGCUUAGUUUAGGAAUGAUGAUCUUACUUCCAAGGGAUUUUAAAUUAAGCAUGGUGCUUAGGUUAAAAUGCCCUAGGUUGAUUUUUGAUCCGAUAGUAUGCUAUAGUAGAUAUUGGAUAUUUUGUUGGACUAACCCCUGCAGGAAAACUUUCAAUAUCAAACUUGGAAGUCCUGAGAUAAACUCAAAUUGGAGACAAAGAGAGAGACACAUCAAGUUUAACAAUUUACACAAGGAAGACGUAGCUCAUAAGAGAUGAUACAUGGAGGAUGCCACAAACACGAUGCACAACCGCUAUGAAAGGAAAGCUUCCACAAGGUGAUACUGUACCAUCACUCUUCAAGUAAGGUAACAUCUUAAUAUACUUGAUUAUCACUUUUAUAAGCUUCUCCUUGGUUCUAGUGUUCACAUGAAUAAAAGAGACAAACAUGUAUGAUUUAUAACUCCAAAUUAACCAACCCAACUGAUUCAACAUGUUUAGUCCUUUAAUCUUUGCUCCUAGUACUCCCUCCAUGAUCCCACACUCCUAAUCAUAUGAGCUAAAAUGUUACACAUUCAAUCUUUGAGAGAUAUAAAGAAAAAGACAUAUACAUAGAUAGAUUAUCUUUCCACAAGGUUGAGCGAUCUGAUCUGACAAAUGUUAUAAGUACUACACUCAUGAACUUAUCAUCCAUCAACUUUGUCUUGCUCACUAUGCUUAAGGUUAGAGAAGAACAAAUACACUUUUGGUUCUGUUGGUGUUUUCCACCAACAGGACCCAUGCACUUGAUCUCUGCCUUGUCUCUAUGAGCAGGUACACUUCGAGCAAAAUAUGGAGGAGUUUUACAACUCCCAGACUCCACCAAGUGAACAACCUGGAUCUAUGAGCACAAACACACUGAACAAGAUACUACCAACACCGCACUUUGAACUGCUAGGCAAAUGAAGAACAUGGGUGACACCGUAUCAAGAGGUGCAGACGUCAAGGUCCACACCUGAAUCAAAUGACGCACCUAAAGAAUGAACACAGUGAGAAGUCUUGUUCAGAAGACUUAAAACAUUGAACCCUCGCCGAAAGGUAAAAUCGGUAAUUAUCCAUAUUUAUCCUUUCUACAUUCCCUUUUCCCUUUUAUUAUUUACUUUCCUUAAAUAGCUUGUUAAUUAAUCAUGCUAUCUUGAAAAGAAAUUAAAAAUGUUAAAAACAGUAAGCCCCAUGUGAGUAUGCUCGUGGCAUAAAACCCAUAAGUACGUUCACUGUGGUGGCGUAAAAAUAAAAUAAAUAUAUUCCUAUCAUAUAAAAAUGAAAAUAUAAAAAUAAAUUUAUGAUCCUACCAAAGAGAGUAAUAUUUAUUGGAGGAGGCUCAACAUGAUAAAGGCUAGAUAUUUAUGCUAACACUUAACUAGUUCCACAAAGCUUUAUUGUCUAUUUGAGCUCCACAGAAUUCAAGGAUCAAAGAAGACUAGCAGACGGAGGACGUCCUAAUCGCUGUGAGGGUACUGCCGACAUUCAAAUACACCUCCACCACCUGCUAGCUACAUCAGAAGAAAUUACGUCAAAAUCCAGCUUGGGGGAGAGCACCCCCAUUUAUCCAGCUAAGUGUUUCUACUCGCGUUUAUACUUUAGUCAAAUAAUAAAAAGAUGCAUAAUCAGAAAAACUCAAAUAAAGAUUUUUGUGCUUAUAUAUAUCUUUGCUUAGUUUGCUAAAUAAAUAAAUAAAUGAAGUUUGCUAUGAACUCUCAUGAUAAGCUCUCACAUAAAAUGGUCGUUACGCUCCNNNNNNNNNNNNNNNNNNNNNNNNNNNNNNNNNNNNNNNNNNNNNNNNNNNNNNNNNNNNNNNNNNNNNNNNNNNNNNNNNNNNNNNNNNNNNNNNNNNNNNNNNNNNNNNNNNNNNNNNNNNNNNNNNNNNNNNNNNNNNNNNNNNNNNNNNNNNNNNNNNNNNNNNNNNNNNNNNNNNNNNNNNNNNNNNNNNNNNAAAAAUUCACUUGCACGUUCACUAAUACAUGCUGCUUCUACUCCGGAAGUACGCAUCCACAUACAUCCACUCAUUUCCAUCUCCAGAUUCACCCAAAAUUAUUCUACUCCUAUCCAAGAGAGAAUAGCCAAAAACAUUAUCCUAUCCCUGUUAUUCCCCGUGAAAUAAAUGCUCGAGGUAUUUUGGUUACUACCACUUGCUACAUUAUUCUAGGAGGGUGAGUGCUCUGAAAAAAAGAAGAAAGAUACGAGGAAAUAAAAAGGGUCAAGUGCCCGAAACCUCGAAGAAAAGAAAAAGUGAGACGAGAGGUAAAAAUGUACAAGUGUCCGACAGUAGAAUUAGGGGUACAACAUACCCACCUGAGAUGAAAGAAAAAAAAUAAAUAAUAUAGAGCAUCUCAUUCUUCUCAAAAAUCUUCAAAAGAGCAAGAACGGUAUGUAUCCCCUCAAAAGAGCAAAAAGUAGAAUUAGACUUUCACCAUUGUUAUCACCAUACACCAUUCAUUCGCCACACAUACACAUCUUGAUUUGACUUAUUGACUUGUUUCUCUGUAUCCAUGGUUUGACUAUGCAAUAAAUGUCUUAUAAGUAUGUAUUAGCUUUCUCCCACCUAUGAGCUUCAGAUAUCAAAACCGUAUUAGAGUAGGGUGAGAGAGAAGGCAAUGUCACUAUGCCUCAUACUACAUAUACCAUAUGCUUUGAGAGAAGGCAUAUACCAUCACUGCCUUGGUAAGGAUCC
rnacentral:lncRNA from 1 species